CUCACUAACUGUAAGUCGCUCUGGAUAAGAGCGUCUGCUAAAUGACUAAAAUGUAAAUGAGUUGAUUUUUUUCACAUCAAUAUACAACAGUAUUAAACUUUGUCACAAUUCCUUGUCAUUAGCUGUACGGUCAUGAUGUCGAGCAGCCCAGCCUCCAAUUGUAUGCAAGGGUUCCUCUGUGUUAUCUUAGGAAUGCUGCAUUAUCUCACCAUCCCCCAUUCUGUCACAUCUCUGUGGUGCAGAGGUGCGACGUGAUGGGGGAUGGGGAGAUGAUUGACCUGAACAGAGAAGAGGGGCUCUGCUGUUCAGGACUGCUGCUCACUGAGUUUAGCUUCCUCCCUCUAUGGUCCUCCCCCACUGAACAGACAUACUGGGACUCUACAGGCCCUUACUACAUGAUACACAGCAUAUCCAGUAUAGAAGGGUUUCCCAACUGGCGGGCCGAAUUUGGUUUUAUUUGGCCCUUCAAGUGUUCUAAAAAUACGUGUUUUUUUUGUUUAAUUUUCAUUGUUGGACAUAAGACUGUAAAAAUACCAGGAAGUCAGCUCCAAGGGAUUUUAAUUUUGGAAAUCUGUUCCCAAGUAUUCCCUCACAUAAUAGAGACGUGAUCGUAUACAAAUAAUAAUUACGAGUAAUUGAUUGGAUUUAUAUAGCACUUUUCUACCAACUGAGGUACUCAAAGCUUUACAUAGUAGGGGGAAAUUCACCUCAUCCACCAUCAAUGUGUACCACCCACCUCAGUGAUGCAUGGUGACCAUUUCUGUGGCAGAACUCUCACCACAUCAGGUGGAGAGGUGAGGAGUGAUAUAUGCCAAGUAGGAAUGAAGGGGAUGAUUAGGUGGCCAUGAUGGAAUGUGGCCAGGUUGGAAAUGUAGCCAUGACACCGGGGUGAACCCCCCCCACUCUUACAAUAAACGCCAUGGGAUUUUGAUGGAACACAGUCAGGACAACCGUUUUAAUGUCCCAUCCGAAAGACGUCACCCUACUACGCAGGACAAUGUUCCCAAAUAUAAUCAAGGUUUGAAAUGAUUGUUUUAGUCAAAUAUAUCUGUUUAGACUUCUUGCGGUAAAUUUGCAGUUCUAGUUGAUGAUCCCUGCAGUAAGGGUCUGAAGUCAUUUCAAAUCAUGGGAUGUCAUACAUAGUCUGUUUUGGAGGGGGUACCAGCAUUACACAUAGUCUUAACAGCCAUGCAUACAAAACAGGUUAUGCAUCUGAAGGCGCCCAGAAAACCUGUGGACCUGCAAUUCAUAAAGUAAAUCUGUGGAAUUAUGUUCAGUGAGGUGUGUUAGGUAAACCAGUAAAACAACCUCCACUGACAGUUAAAAUAUGCUCUCAAGAGAACGUGCUUUUAAUCUUUUGUCUUGGAUCAGGAUUGGGGAUCAAUUACAGUUCAAUUCAGGAACUUCCUAAUAGAAAAUAAUUUCAGUUACUGACUAAAUUGAAAUAUAAUUGACUCCAACCCUGAUUUGGGUACAGGCUCAUGGCUUCUCCUGCAGUGUAAUUGACUCCAACCCUGAUUUGGGUACAGGCUCAUGGCUUCUGCAGUGUAAGCACCAGAGGGAUUCAGAUUCAGUGUGUAAUAGUCACAUGUACAGGGUUGCAGGUGUAACUGCGGGGUACAGUGAAAAUCUUAGGGUCCGAACUCCAACAGAGUGUAGUUCUUCAAUUUGUGCUGCUUCUAUCGCAAUGUUCUUGCUAAAUUAAAAAGCUUAUAGGCUACAUUGAUUUGUGUUGUUUAUUUUGGACAUAAAACAGUCCAAAUAAGUACGUGCCACACAUUUCCUGUUGUGCAACAUUUCUUUCCUGUAACUGCCUUUUAAACCUUGAGAGAGAAUAGUUUUUUUUCUCCAGAUGCAUCAUUACCUUUCUUGGAGGCACAUCGGAAAUUUGUGAACAUACGUGUUAUGGCUAUGCUGGAGUUGUCAUUGAUGUUUGUUUUAUUAUGAAUCAUGACAUUUAUCAGGUGGAUGUUAGUUUGCCUCAUCAGUCUUUUGAUAUCAACAACAUUUUGUGAGCUCCAUUCUUUGGAGUUUUUGUCUAUAAUAGUCUCGGAACUUGGUGAUCGACCACAUUUUGAACAGACAACUGUGUUUGAUGGAGUCAUCAUAUCGCACUGUGACAGUGUGACUAAGAAAGAAAAGCUCAGACAGAGCUGGGUCAACCAGAGCCCACAAUGGAGGGAGAGGACCUUAGAUUGCUCACAGAGCCACACAGACCAUGAAGUGGCUCUCUGGCAGAUACGUCAUAUGAUCAAUAAUAGUACAGUUGACGUUCUUCAGAGGCAGCGUGGCUGCACUUACAUCACAAAUGAAUCCUCCACUGGGUUUGACCAAUGGGGUCUCAAUGGGGAGAACUUCCUGACCUCUCAGACACGGAUGUCAGAGUCUCUACAGGCAAACCCCAUAGAACAGAGUUGGAACUCAAACAAAGUGAGGAGUCACAUGUUUAAGGAAUUUCUCCAGCAUGACUGUUGCUCUUUACUCACCAAUAUCAUAAAGACAAGAGAGGGAGCCGGCGCAAUAGAACAGAAGACAGGUGAGAUGGACACAUACAGUCGAGCGACUAUGAAAUAACAAAGCCCUGCGAAUGAAUGUGCACAAUAACAGGAUUUGGUGUUGUGGAGUCACAGAGUGCAUGUGAAUGAAUUUGCCUUCCCUGUUUGUUACAAUUGUGGUAUUUACAUCAGUCAACAUUGUUUUAUUCUAUGAUUUUCGUAAUCCAGAAGUACACAUAUUUGCCAAGCCCAUACCUCAAAAAGAGGACGUGUCCUUAAGAUGUCAUGUGACAAGCACUGACCUAUCAGGACUAAAGGUCCACUUGACCCAAGAUAGGGCUGUGAUGACAGAUCGGGUCAGAGUCAUUGGGCCUCUACCCAAUGUUGAUGGAUCAGUCCUGCUGAGACUGAGUGUUGAGAUCCCCACUGGCCACAUGAAAACAUGGUGUUACCGCUGUGAAGUACAAACAAGCACAAGCAACACCGCUGCUUUGUGGGGUGAGACAUUUUC